rnacentral:rRNA from 1 species
UGGCACUACGGGAGGCAGCAGUAGGGAAUAUUGCUCAAUGGGGGAAACCCUGAAGCAGCAACGCCGCGUGGAGGAUGAAGGUUUUAGGAUUGUAAACUCCUUUUGUGAGAGAAGAUAAUGACGGUAUCUCACGAAUAAGCACCGGCUAACUACGUGCCAGCAGCCGCGGUAAUACGUAGGGUGCAAGCGUUACUCGGAAUCACUGGGCGUAAAGAGUGCGCAGGCGGGGUUGGAAGACAGAUGUGAAAUCCGGUAGCUUAACUACAGGA